rnacentral:rRNA from 1 species
GACGAACGCUGGCGACGUGCUUAACACAUGCAAGUCGAACGGAAAGGCCCUGCUUUUGUGGGGUGCUCGAGUGGCGAACGGGUGAGUAACACGUGAGUAACCUGCCCUUGACUUUGGGAUAACUUCAGGAAACUGGAGCUAAUACCGGAUAGGAGCUCCUGCUGCAUGGUGGGGGUUGGAAAGUUUCGGCGGUUGGGGAUGGACUCGCGGCUUAUCAGCUUGUUGGUGGGGUAGUGGCUUACCAAGGCUUUGACGGGUAGCCGGCCUGAGAGGGUGACCGGCCACAUUGGGACUGAGAUACGGCCCAGACUCCUACGGGAGGCAGCAGUGGGGAAUAUUGCACAAUGGGCGGAAGCCUGAUGCAGCAACGCCGCGUGCGGGAUGACGGCCUUCGGGUUGUAAACCGCUUUCGCCUGUGACGAAGCGUGAGUGACGGUAAUGGGUAAAGAAGCACCGGCUAACUACGUG